rnacentral:lncRNA from 1 species
AUGCAUAGAACCGUGAAAAAAAAAAAAAAAAAAAAAAAAAAAAAAAAAAAAAAAAAAAUUAAAAUUUCCAGUACUCAAAAGCUGCAGGUCUGUUGCCUAAACCUCACGGCAUUGACCUUCACGGUGGCGGCCAGAACAUGCGAGCGAGCCGGGCUGGUGUGGGGGAGGCGGCCCCGGGCCGCGGGCCCGGCCUCGGGCCUGCCGCCUCACACGGCCGCCUGCAGCUGUGCUACGCUGCCCCUGUUUAACAACAGCUUCAUCGACAUCCGGCAACAAAACACACUCGGUAACAAACAGCCAGCGAGGAUUAGUAGCUGCUUUGCCACAGUCCCAGCAGCACCUGCAAAGUCCCCCACAAAGUUCACCUCAGCUUACACACGUGAGGUUGGGUGUUGUUUACCUCACCUUCUGUCUCCUCAGGUAAUUCACUGCAGUUCCUUCAUGCACUCUAGCUACCAAAUUCACCUGGCUACAGCCCCAGCUCUUGCUUUUCAGCAGCAAAAACUUCUUCAGCUGCUACUUGUGUGGGGACACAGCUGAGGCUCCUCUUCACAGAAUCAUAGUUAUUUAGGUUAGAAAAUACCCUAAUAUUGAGAACUUUAAUUGAGUCUGACCAUUAUCCAUAAUUCGAAAUACACUUCUUAGGUAGGGGAAUCUAAGAAAUACUGGUUUGAUUUAACAUCACUAUCAGAGCUGUUGUGGCAGAUUCAGGGAAAAGAAGAAAGGUUUUUAAGAAUGCCAGGAGAUGAUGAACAUUCCUGGCACAUGCACAGAUUCACUUGACCUCUCAUUUGCACCUUCCAAACCUGAAUUAUUGAUUUGCCCUCCUUGAAUCAAAAAGUUUUUCUAUUCCCUAAGAAGACUAAUGUUGCCAUGGUAUCCCAGCACUCCAAAGCCAGACCUGAAUUUAAGUGACUUUUCCUGAAGGUGAGGAAGGGGAUUUGCCCCCUUUUACCAAGAACCACACCAACAAAGGCCAUGUCCAUUGCUUAGCAGCCCUGGGAGUGCUGGGACAUAGCCAUGGGUGCCAGCACUCCUCCAGCAGAUUAGAAAACCUGGUCCAAACAAUGCUUGGGCUGAGUGCUGGGAGUGCUGGGAGGAGCUGGGGAGGAGUUACCCUUACAUUUACAUUAUGUGUGGGACCUAAUACAAAGAAAUGUAGAAUGAAGCGUUGAUUCAUAAUGACACUAAUACAAAAUCUGCUCCUAAAAACAAACCCUGUUCAUUUUUGCUGGCCUUUCCGUGUCUUGACAAGAAAUGAGAAAAACAGCAUUUAGUUGAUUUUUGUGCAAACAAAAAAGCUUUUAUCCAUCUCACAUCUUUGCUGACAAGAUGACAAUGCAUGCCCUUUCUUAAAAUUCAGUUUGGAAGUACCCAGCAGUGAUGCCUGAAGAUUUUUACUUGUCAUAUAUUUUUCAUAUACUUGCAGUUUUGUAUACCGUUAAUACAUAGUUAUAUAGCUUCUAGUACUUUUCCUGGCAUUUCUCUCACAUUUUAGAACAACAAGCUAACCCUUUCUAACACAUUCCUGAAAUUCUGU